GAUGAACGCUGGCGGCGUGCCUAAUACGUGCAAGUAGAACGCUGAAGGCAUGAGCUUGCUCUUUCCGGAUGAGUUGCGCACGGGUGAGUAACGCGUAGGUAACCUGCCUGGUAGCGGGGGAUAACUAUUGGAAACGAUAGCUAAUACCGCAUAACAGUCUAUGUUGCAUGAUAUCUACUUAAAAGUUGCAAUUGCACCACUACCAGAUGGACCUGCGUUGUAUUAGGUAGUUGGUGAGGUAACGGCUCACCAAGGCGACGGUACAUAGCCGACCUGAGAGGGAGAUCGGCCAGACUGGGAAGGGGACACGGCCAAGACUCGUACGGGAGGCAGCCGAAGGGCAUAUGCGGCGAUGGACGGGAGACUGAUCGAGAAAGGCCGGGUGAGUGAAGAAGGUUUUCGGAUCGUAGAAUUCUGGUGUAAGGGAAGAAAGAGUGUGAGAGUGGAAAGUUCACACUGUGACGGUAACUGAGCAGAAAGGGACGGCUAACUUCGUG
rnacentral:rRNA from 1 species